rnacentral:rRNA from 1 species
CUACCAUGUAGACGUCUGACGCAGCAACGCCGCGUGCGGGAUGAAGGGGCUAUGCCUUGUAAACCGCUGUAGCCUGGGAAGAAAACGGCCCUCGGGGCCCGGGACUGUACCAGGAAAGUAAGCAUCGGCUAACUACGUGCCAGCAGCCGCGGUAAUACGUAGGAUGCAAGCGUUGUCCGGAUUUACUGGGUGUAAAGGGUGCGCAGGCGGAGAAGUAAGUCAGAGGUGAAAGCCUACAGCUCAACUGUAGAACUGCCUUUGAUACUGCUUCCCUUGAGUAUGGUAGAGGUCGGCGGAAUUCCCGGUGUAGCAGUGAAAUGCGUAGAUAUCGGGAGGAACACCAGUGGCGAAGGCGGCCGGCUGGACCAUAACUGACGCUCAUGCACGAAAGUGUGGGGAUCAAACAGGAUUAGAUACCCUGGUAGUCCACACUGUAAACGAUGUAUGCUUGGUGUUGGCUUCGUAGGAAGUCAGUGCCGGAGGUAACCUGUUAAGCAUACCACCUGGGGAGUACGAUCGCAAGGUUGAAACUCAAGG